GAAACCUUUGUAUUUGGUUGGGGUUUUUUUCAGUAUAAAUUGUGUUUUAAAUUCUCUGAUUAAAGACAAAUUAACGCUAAUUAUUAAAGACAGUCUCUGUUUGAAACGAUGUGUCCAUGAUUGACGUAACCCUUUAGUGAUUAUUCAUUGUACAGCAGGUGGUAUUUUAUUAAUUUUAUUUUUUUUAUUAACACUUAUAUAAAUUUCAGAUUUGUAACAGCUGUCAAAAAGGCUUGGAAUAGAGUUGCUAACAGGGAUUUUUAUAAACCUUUUCAAAGAGUGAAACUUCAAGUCGCUUUCCUGCAAGUGAAUGUCGGAUUGUGGAGAUGUUAAAAAAGCACGUUGC